rnacentral:lncRNA from 1 species
UUCCUGACAACUUCCUCAAUUUUGCCCAUGGCGGAACAUUCAGUCUCUGUCUUCUCUGAUCUAGAAUCUUUUCAGGCCUCAUUUCCCCCUGUUUACUCCUACUUGAAGGAGAGGAGAUCCAUAUGGACCUGGUGCUUGUUGGUAAACAGAGUGGAUGACUGCCCCUCCCGCUACCUCUUGAAAGAAGGGUAACUUGAGCAAAACAUUUCUUGCCAACUUCCUGGUGGCCUAGAGGCUUUAGUGUCGUGAGCCUCUGCUGUCCUGAGAGUUGAGUCUUCUGAGAGCCUGUGGUCUGGCUGUUCUUCCACAAAGGCAUGAGUUUAUUCCCGCAGCUUGCAGCAAUCUGCAGGGUUUUCCUCUGGCAAGAAAAAUCAAAACCCAAAGCGCAAGGCCCCUGGGUCUCCUGGGCUCCCCCAGUAGGUCAGUGUGGCCUCUCAGAGGGCUCUUCUUGGGGCUGCUUAGGUGGCUGGGAAUUGCAGUCUCAAGGUGGUGCUGGAAACGAAGCGUGGCCAUGGGGGAGGAAGGCAUCAGAUAGCUGGCUGCCCCACACAGCUGUCACACGCUAAUGCUCAGGGAAGGCCUCUGAUGAGCUAUUGAGCAAUAUUUCCAAUUUCCAACACUGUUGAAACCUUGCCGUGUUUCACAAACUUUGCCUCCGCAAUGUCUGGGUAGGGGAGACUGUGUCAGGAGUGGCUGAAAUUUGCUAUCAAUACCAGUAUUGAACUGUGUCUAUUCAAGCCACGAAACACCUCCUGACCCCAAGAAAAGAAGGAAAAAAGAAAAAAGGAAAGAGGAAAGGGAAAAAGAAGAAUGAAGGAAGAAAGGAGGAAGGAAGAAGAAAAAGGAAGAAGAAAGCUGCAAGGAAGGAGGGAAAGAAGGAGGAAAGAGGAAGAACAGAAGGUGAAUCUGGGAGGCAGACAGGAACAAUCAACUGAACAAAUACAGGAUGCCAGCCUGUGUGAAGUGUAGCAGAGGGCGUGCAAAGACAUCGCUCUGCCCUCGGGCUUCUGAAGAAGGUACUCUAUAAUCUAACCACCCAGUUGUCCCCAUCUGCCUGCUAGGUGACCCGAAGGCCCACCCCAUGUUCCCUCCUAUGUAGCCUUUCUCCUUGCAGUUCCCUCUGCAGGGGCUGCCCUGCUGCCCCCCUUUCCCCGCCCCCCCCCCCCGCCCCCAACCUCCAGCUCCUGAAAGCUGUCCUCAGAGGCCCACAGCAAACCUGCACCCUUUCCAGCCUCACCUCUGGCCAGGGCCAGUGGCACCUGGAAUCAAGCCGCCUUCUCCAUGUUGCCCUUGCCCAAUUCUGGGAUGUGGCCAGAGUUGUCGUGGCAGAGUGUCUCGCACCAUUUGUCCCAGACAAGUUGGUCGUCCCCCAUCCCAUGGGCCUCCCUGCCCACCUGGGUGCCAGGUCAGAUUCUCCCUCUUCUCUCCUGUUUUCACGGCUCUGUCUCAAGGAAAGCCAUGCUCCAUCCCUCCAUAUGUCAGGACGUCCCCCAGAUAGACCCCCGCCUGCCCCACUGCCCACCUACAUCUAGGAUCCAUGCUGCCCACUGACCUCGCACAGGUGGUUCACAGGACCUGUCCUGGGGGAAGGCCUAGCUCAGCGGGGGAGGCAGUGGGACGGCACACACAGUGCUAAGAGAAGGGGCGCUGGAAAAUGCAGGAGGAUGAAGAGGACGGUCCCAGAGGAGAGUGUCACUGAGCUAAGGGAGAUGUGGGGGUCAGGAGAGCAGAAACACACGGUGAAGGGCUGGGUCCUUGCAAAGGCAAUCGGUACUGCCAUCAACGGGAGGAGGUACCAGGCCUGGGACCCUAAUGAAUGGCACAAGCUACUUCCUGUCUCUGAGCCUCGAUUUCCUCAUCUGUAAAAUGGGAGUGAUAAAAAGACCUUCUCCUUAGAAGACCUGAGAGCAGGCGGCUUCAUCCGCUUCAGUUGCGCAAAGGCGGCGCUGGCUGCCCCUGACGCCCCCGCCCUCUUGGCCUGGGCAGCUUUUCCCUGUCCCGGCCACAGCCACAAAGGCCGCCUGGGAGAGAGGAAGCUGCCGCUUAAGUGCCGCCGCACAGCGCCCUCCGCGGAGGGUAAAUGGAGCCUCCGGCCACGGGCGCGCGGCUGGGCCGGGCUGCUCUGCAAACCGCUCACGUGCUCCUGCCUUUCCGAGCCGGGGACUGCGCCAGGGCGCGCAGGAAAAAACACAGCCCGGAGCUGCAAGAAGCCCUUCUUUCUUUUCUUUAAUCACUCACUCCCCGGCUUUGCGUCUCCUCCCCUCGCUUGCGGGAAUGUUAUGAAUGGAAUGUACGGAUUCCAGCCUGUGCGCGCGCGGCCAGGAAUGCAGGGCGCAGCGACCUCUCGACCCACGGCCAGCGCACCGCCCCAGCGCCACAGCCUGGGAUCCCAGAGCCACAGCCUGGGAUCCCUGAGCCACAGCCUGGGAUCCCUGAGCCGGCCCGGCCGCCACGAACACUCAGGGCCACGUGGCCUGACGUCUGCAGUGGGAGAUUCAGACGGAACUGUUUGCUGACUGCCUACAACAUGCCAGGCACCACAUGCCAGCAGAGGCCAUCGAGACACUCUGCCUCUGUCCCCAGUGCCCCACAUAUUUCCAGCUCACAGAUACGUUUUGUUUGGCCUUGCGACAAUUUUAAAGCUUGUAAAAUAAUAAAGUAAUAUAAUUUUAGUAAUAUUAAAAUGACAUUAAUUAAAAUUAUGUGAACCCUGAAAA